rnacentral:rRNA from 1 species
AUACGGCAGGUCCGGGCGUUAUCCGGAUUUAUUGGGUUUAAAGGGAGCGCAGGCGGAGAUGCAAGCGUGACGUCAAAUUUCGGGGCUCAACCCCGUCUCGCGUCGCGAACUGCGUCCCUUGGUUGCGGGAAGGGGAGGCGGAACUCGUGGUGUAGCGGUGAAAUGCGUAGAGAUUGGGGGUAACACCAGUGGGGAGGGCGACUUACGGGACUGUAACUGUCGCUGAGGCGCGAAAGUGUGGGGAGCAAACAGGAGUAGAUACCCUGGUAGGCCACGCGGUAAACGAUGAUCACUAGGUGUUGGCACGCAUAGCGUGUCGGCGCCGCAGCAAACGCAAUAAGUGAUCCGCCUGGGGAGUCCGUUCGCAAGAAGGAAACUCAAAUGGAUUGACGGGG